GGCGCGUAGCUCAGCUGGUUAGAGCGCACGACUGAUAAUUGUGAGGUCGGCAGUUCAAGUCUGCCCGUGCCUACCAC
rnacentral:tRNA from 1 species